rnacentral:rRNA from 1 species
UGGGGAAUUUUGGACAAUGGGCGAAAGCCUGAUCCAGCAAUGCCGCGUGUGUGAAGAAGGCCUUCGGGUUGUAAAGCACUUUUGUCCGGAAAGAAAUCCUUGGCUCUAAUACAGUCGGGGGAUGACGGUACCGGAAGAAUAAGCACCGGCUAACUACGUGCCAGCAGCCGCGGUAAUACGUAGGGUGCAAGCGUUAAUCGGAAUUACUGGGCGUAAAGCGUGCGCAGGCGGUUUGCUAAGACCGAUGUGAAAUCCCCGGGCUCAACCUGGGAACUGCAUUGGUGACUGGCAGGCUAGAGUAUGGCAGAGGGGGGUAGAAUUCCACGUGUAGCAGUGAAAUGCGUAGAGAUGUGGAGGAAUAUCGAUGGCGAAGGCAGCCCCCUGGGCCAAUACUGACGCUCAUGCACGAAAGCGUGGGGAGCAAACAGGAUUAGAUACCCUGGUAGUCCACGCCCUAAACGAUGUCAACUAGUUGUUGGGGAUUCAUUUCCUUAGUAACGUAGCUAACGCGUGAAGUUGACCGCCUGGGGAGUACGGUCGCAAGAUUAAAACUCAAAUGAAUUGACGGGGUCAUAGCUG